rnacentral:rRNA from 1 species
GUAUACUGUUUUGUAUGUAUUAUAUGAAUAAGGAUCGGCUAACUCCGUGCCAGCAGCCGCGGUAAUACGGAGGAUCCGAGCGUUAUCCGGAUUUAUUGGGUUUAAAGGGAGCGUAGGUGGACUGGUAAGUCAGUUGUGAAAGUUUGCGGCUCAACCGUAAAAUUGCAGUUGAUACUGUCAGUCUUGAGUACAGUAGAGGUGGGCGGAAUUCGUGGUGUAGCGGUGAAAUGCUUAGAUAUCACGAAGAACUCCGAUUGCGAAGGCAGCUCACUGGACUGCAACUGACACUGAUGCUCGAAAGUGUGGGUAUCAAACAGGAUUAGAUACCCUGGUAGUCCACACAGUAAACGAUGAAUACUCGCUGUUUGCGAUAUACAGUAAGCGGCCAAGCGAAAGCAUUAAGUAUUCCACCUGGGGAGUACGCCGGCAACGGUGAAACUCAAAGGAAUUGACGGGGGCCCGCACAAGCGGAGGAACAUGUGGUUUAAUUCGAUGAUACGCGAGGAACCUUACCCGGGCUUAAAUUGCAACUGACUGAACCGGAAACGGUUCUUUCUUCGGACAGUUGUGAAGGUGCUGCAUGGUUGUCGUCAGCUCGUGCCGUGAGGUGUCGGCUUAAGUGCCAUAACGAGCGCAACCCUUAUCGAUAGUUACUAGCAGGUCAUGCUGAGGACUCUAUUGAGACUGCCGUCGUAAGAUGUGAGGAAGGUGGGGAUGACGUCAAAUCAGCACGGCCCUUACGUCCGGGGCUACACACGUGUUACAAUGGGGGGUACAGAAGGCAGCUACACGGCGACGUGGUGCUAAUCCCUAAAGCCUCUCUCAGUUCGGAUUGGAGUCUGCAACCCGACUCCAUGAAGCUGGAUUCGCUAGUAAUCGCGCAUCAGCCACGGCGCGGUGAAUACGUUCCCGGGCCUUGUACACACCGCCCGUCAAGCCAUGAAAGCCGGGGGUACCUGAAGUACGUAACCGCGAGGAGCGUCCUAGGGUAAAACUGGUGAUUGGGGCUAAGUCGUAACAAGGUAGCCGUACCGGAAGGUGCGGCUG